rnacentral:snRNA from 1 species
GCAAUGAGUGCCUGAUUUGUUCCAAAAAGAUUCAGAUCUGGCUGGCUAGGCGGGUGUCCCCUUCCUCCCUCACCGAUCCAUGUGCGUCCCUCCCUAAGCUGCGCCCUGGGUUGAAGAGGAGGACCUUCCCCCCGGAGGAGAGGACCGGUCUUCGGUCAAGGGUAUACGAGUAGCUGCGCUCCCCUGCUAGAACCUCCAAACAAGCUCUCAAAAAGAUUCAGAGAGUGAACCAGGCACAAGUAUGUUCAAUUUUGAAAAUAUAAUU